UCUUGGCUCAUUUAGAGGAAGUAAAAGUCGUAACAAGGUUUCCGUAGGUGAACCUGCGGAAGGAUCAUUACAGUAGUCGCCCGGGUUGCCGCAAGGCCUCCCGGGUAACCUACCACCCUUUGUUUAUUACACUUUGUUGCUUUGGCAGGCCUGCCCUCGGGCUGCUGGCUCCGGCCGGCGAGCGCUUGCCAGAGGACCUAAACUCUGUUUGUCUAUACUGUCUGAGUACUAUAUAAUAGUUAAAACUUUCAACAACGGAUCUCUUGGUUCUGGCAUCGAUGAAGAACGCAGCGAAAUGCGAUAAGUAAUGUGAAUUGCAGAAUUCAGUGAAUCAUCGAAUCUUUGAACGCACAUUGCGCCCCCUGGUAUUCCGGGGGGCAUGCCUGUCCGAGCGUCAUUACAACCCUCAAGCUCAGCUUGGUAUUGGGCCCCGCCGACCCGGCGGGCCCUAAAGUCAGUGGCGGUGCCGUCCGGCUCCGAGCGUAGUAAUUCUUCUCGCUCUGGAGGUCCGGUCGUGUGCUCGCCAGCAACCCCCAAUUUUUUUCAGGUUGACCUCGGAUCAGGUAGGGAUACCCGCUGAACUUAAGCAUAUCAAUAAGCG
rnacentral:rRNA from 1 species